GACCUAAUGGCGAAAUAAUAUCGCGUCCGUCUCUCAUAAGGGCGAAAAGCCGGGCCAGUUGUGUGCGGAAGGUCCCCGUUCGAUUCGGGGUUAGGUCG